AGAUCAUGUUGAGGAUAAUUCCUCAACAACCCCUUGUAGUGCUCCCAAGCUUCAUAUAGCGACUCCCCCGGUUGUUGCUCAAAGUUGGCUAUUGCCUUCUUGUGUUU